GAGAAAGGAGAGCUGGGAGGCUGAAAAGUAGCGAGGCAGGCUGAUGGACAGCAACAGAUACAGAGUACAGAGUAAUGCUGCUCUGUAACGUGAUAAGGCAACAAGAGGCCAAGGCUCUUCCGGGCAGCACUCACAAGAGCUGUUGAAGUGCAGCGAGGCCCUGCUCUCUUCUUCCUGUUUACAGAGGAAAAUUAUUGUAACCGAGUAGCAUCCUGACGAAGAACUCAAGAACAUAACCAACUGACAUGUCAUAAAAGCAAAGAUAAGGGUUUAGAGUUCCCAGUAACAAGAAGUGGAAGCAGCCUUCGACUGACACAAAUGCUCAUGAUAGCCAUCAAGGACCCAGUCUUCUGUUCGUUCCUGCUCUGCCUCCUCAUGCUUGAGCUCAAGAUGACUUCUAUGCCUCCAGGCAUCAUGACCACAUUCCAGGCAGGAAGAGAGGGAGAGCAAAAAGUGUCUGCCAGCUAAGUUUAUCCCUUGUUAUGAGGAAAUCAGUAG
rnacentral:lncRNA from 1 species